rnacentral:rRNA from 1 species
AACGAACGCUGGCGGCAUGCCUAACACAUGCAAGUCGAGCGAGAUCUUCGGGUCUAGUGGCGCACGGGUGCGUAACGCGUGGGAAUCUGCCCUGUGGUUCGGAAUAACAGUUGGAAACGACUGCUAAUACCGGAUGAUGACGAAAGUCCAAAGAUUUAUCGCCAGAGGAUGAGCCCGCGUAGGAUUAGCUAGUUGGUGUGGUAAAGGCGCACCAAGGCGACGAUCCUUAGCUGGUCUGAGAGGAUGAUCAGCCACACUGGGACUGAGACACGGCCCAGACUCCUACGGGGGGCAGCAGUGGGGAAUAUUGGACAAUGGGCGAAAGCCUGAUCCAGCAAUGCCGCGUGAGUGAUGAAGGCCUUAGGGUUGUAAAGCUCUUUUACCCGGGAUGAUAAUGACAGUACCGGGAGAAUAAGCUCCGGCCAACUCCGUGCCAGCCGCCGCCGUAA